CUAUUGUUAGGUCUGACAUCACAUUACAUGUGUGAUCUAAACAAUGUGGGGCUUGCUGGCAGUGAAGCCCCCCAGGAAACGUUCUAGUCUUGUGGAGCCAGAAUCUGCAAUGGUCACAUUCCCUACAUUACUAAAGAAAAUCUUUCCAGGUUUUUCUGAGAGCAUCCUGCUUGAUCAAACAACAUUUCAAGACUAUACGAAGUGCCAAUCUGCAUUGAUAGAGGAAGUUUCUUCAUCUGGGAGUUCCUUACGUCAGUGAAAUCAUGGAUAAAUUUCUUGUUCAUACUGAUAUAUGAACAUCAGAAGUGUCAAACAGAACCCACAACACUCCUGAGCGGGCACCUGAACUCUUAAAAUGUAAUUGGCAAUUAUUUAACAAAAUAAGUAAAAACACAGUAGAAUAUAGAUAAUAUUCCUAUGCGGUUUUCUAAGUCAAUGUAAAGUUUUUAGGGAUCCUUAUGUAUGAUUUAGUGAUCCCUAUUUCUAUUUGAAUUUGACAUCACUGAUCUAUAUGCCUGGAAGUCACUCUCCCCAUUAUUUUUUUCCAUAGAACCCCUCUUUCCCUUUAAGAAAAACAGCAUUCCAUUUAAGCACCUUAGGCAACAUCUUCUGUAAGAAACUGUCCUUUAAUCACAUAUCUCUCAUCCCUAAUUGCUAAUGUCCUCUUUCCCAAACUACCUUGCAUUUAACUACUUUGUAUAUAUUUGCAUUUAUAAGCAUUAUACUUACUUUGGCAUAUAUUUUGAUACAUUCUUGUCUACCCUUUGGAAUGGAAACUCUUAGUAGAGAGUAUUUUAUUCUUUGCAUUUGUUUACUCAGAGUGGUAUAGUAGCUGAUUCAUAGUACAUACAUAAAAAUGCUUGUUGAUUAAUUAAUUGAUUGAUUGCUAUAUUUUGUUCUACUCUGAUAGAAUGCAAGUUCUUUGAGUGAAGAGAUUAUUUCCUUCUUUGUUUUGGGGACUCCAAUGCCUUACACUGUAUCUAGUAGUUAGCAUUUAUAUAAUGCCUGCUACAUUCCUGGCACUGCACUUGGCUUACAAUAGGUACUAUUACUAUCCCCAUUUUUCCAGAUGCAGAAACUGAGGUAAAGAGAAAUUAAGUGACUUGCCCACAGUCACAUAGC
rnacentral:lncRNA from 1 species